UAGAGAAUAAAGUUCUCUAUUUAGCCUCAGUUCAGAUACAACAUAGGCAGUGGCAGUGCAAGCUUCUGCCAUACUGCCCUGUAACUGUCUCAGCCCUGACAUGGGGAGACCACCUCUGUGUGCGUGCGUGCGUGUGUGUGUGGUGGUCUCUUCAUCCUGUUCUAUU
rnacentral:sRNA from 1 species